UCUGUCCCUCUCGGCUCUCUCUCGGCUCUCGCUUCUCUGCACCGCAGCAAGCACACACACGCACCCAUUGCACCUGCGCAAGGAAGACCCAUCACCUUCAUCACCUCGUCCUGCUCUCACUCUCUUUCUCCCUCUCGUUCCCGCGACCCCAGAAAUCGAAAAAAGGGACUCCGGCGAGAUUUUUUUCAAUCUCCGGUUAGGUGAGCCCCUAAUUAUCUCUUUUUCGUCCUUGAAUCUUGUGGGUUGUGGUUUAAUUGGUUUUAUUUCUUGAAAUUUGGAGGUUAUAGGACGAAAUUGAAGCCGGGUGUAAGCACACCCAACUCCGGCGACCUCGGGGGUUAUUCCGGCCAUCUCCGGUCG
rnacentral:lncRNA from 1 species